UACGUAGGGUGCAAGCGUUAAUCGGAAUUACUGGGCGUAAAGCGUGCGCAGGCGGUUCUAUAAGACAGAUGUGAAAUCCCCGGGCUCAACCUGGGAACUGCAUUUGUGACUGCAUGGCUAGAGUGCGGCAGAGGGGGAUGGAAUUCCGCGUGUAGCAGUGAAAUGCGUAGAUAUGCGGAGGAACACCGAUGGCGAAGGCAGUCCCCUGGGCCUGCACUGACGCUCAUGCACGAAAGCGUGGGGAGCAAACAGG
rnacentral:rRNA from 1 species